CCUACGGGAGGCAGCAGUGAGGAAUAUUGGUCAAUGGACGAGAGUCUGAACCAGCCAAGUAGCGUGAAGGAUGACUGCCCUAUGGGUUGUAAACUUCUUUUAUAUGGGAAUAAAAUGUUCCACGUGUGGGAUUUUGUAUGUACCAUAUGAAUAAGGAUCGGCUAACUCCGUGCCAGCAGCCGCGGUAAUACGGAGGAUCCGAGCGUUAUCCGGAUUUAUUGGGUUUAAAGGGAGCGUAGGUGGAUUGUUAAGUCAGUUGUGAAAGUUUGCGGCUCAACCGUAACAUUGCAGUGGAAACUGGCAGUCUUGAGUACAGUAGAGGUGGGCGGAAUUCGUGGUGUAGCGGUGAAAUGCUUAGAUAUGACGAAGAACUCCGAUUGCGAAGGCAGCUUACUGGACUGCAACUGACGCUGAGGCUCGAAAGUGUGGGUAUCAAACAGGAUUAGAUACCCGAGUAGUC
rnacentral:rRNA from 1 species